AAACUCGUCUGUGCGGCUGGUACCGCGGACCUGUCGUUUGUCUCGGCCGUUGCAGCUCGUCUUGUUUGCAGCACAGAUGAAUUUAAGUACCGAAUUUCAAGCCCAUACGAGUGGUCAGCUGUGGAUAACGGAUAACAACGUGGAGAAAGUAAACCAGGAUGCGCACCAGUGGGGCUUCACUGUGGAAAAGUUGGAUGAGAAGGGGCUGCUGCUUAAAGUACAAAACGAAGCGAAAGCGAGGGCCGCAGCAAGCUCCUACGAUGUUGUUGGCCACAAGGAAAGGAGCUGCUUAUCGGACCUCAAAACUGGUGAACUGAAAGUUGUGCUUCAGCACAAGACUAAAGCCGGGGGUUCUACUGACGAACAAAAGUAUGACACUGUGUUGACGGUAACCACCCGAGGGCUGACACUAGAGUUGACCAGGAAAUUGGCGCACCUCUUAAUGCACGAAUUGAGUUAAUUCGUGCACAGUCAUCAUUGGCGCCGUCAUCAUCAGCUCAUGAUUGUAAAUAAAUCAACAUCAUCA